rnacentral:rRNA from 1 species
GAGUUGAUCCUGGCUCAGAACGAACGCUGGCGGCGUGGCUAAGGCAUGCAAGUCGGACGGGACUCAUUCGGUAGUAAUACUGGAUGAGUUUAGUGGCGGACGGGUGAGUAAUGCAUGGGUAACGUACCCCAGGCACAGGGAUAGCGGUGCGAAAGCGCCGGUAAUACCUGGUGAUAUCCGGGAGUCGCAUGGCUUCUGGAUCAUAGGUGGGGACCUUCGGGCCUACUGGCCUGGGAUCGGCCCAUGUCCUAUCAGCUUGUUGGUGGGGUAAUGGCCUACCAAGGCGAAGACGGGUAGCCGGCGUGAGAGCGCGACCGGCCACAUCGGGACUGAGACACUGCCCGGACACCUACGGGUGGCUGCAGCAACGAAUAUUCCGCAAUGGGCGCAAGCCUGACGGAGCGACGCCGCGUGGAGGAUGAAGUCUUUCGGGAUGUAAACUUCAAUAGUUUGUCAGGAAGCAAAGGGACCUAAUACGUCCCGGCGUUGACCAGCGAACGAAAGGGGCGGCUAACUCCGUGCCAGCAGCCGCGGUAAGACGGAGGCCCCUAGCGUUGUUCGGAAUCACUGGGCUUAAAGAGGGUGUAGGCGGAGCAGCAAGUACUUUGUGAAAGCCCCGGGCUCAACCCGGGAAUUGCUUGGUAUACUGUUGCUCUUGAGGCAGGUAGGGGUCACUGGAACCUUAGGUGGAGCGGUGAAAUGCGUAGAUAUCUAAGGGAACGCCUGUGGCGAAAGCGGGUGACUGGGCCUGUCCUGACGCUGAGACCCGAAAGCGUAGGGAGCAAACAGGAUUAGAUACCCUGGUAGUCUACGCCGUAAACGAUGCGCACUAGGU